CGAUUAUUUCUUGCACCUGAUUCUCCAAAGUGCCCCCAUUGUGAUUGCUCAUCAGGAUGUCGAGUUACGGAUGUUAUUGGUAAAACAGACCAUGAGAUAUUGUCAAGAGAGGGUAUAGAUGAGAUGAAUAAGGUCAAGAGAGAGGUUAUGGCCAAGGGUAUACCGAUUAAGAGAGAGUUUUUAUUUAACACUCCAUUGUUCGGAC